UACGGGGGGGGCAAGCGUUGUUCGGAAUUACUGGGCGUAAAGGGCUCGUAGGUGGCCAACUAAGUCAUACGUGAAAUCCCUCGGCUUAACCGGGGAACUGCGUCUGAUACUGGAUGGCUUGAGGUUGGGAGAGGGAUGCGGAAUUCCAGGUGUAGCGGUGAAAUGCGUAGAUAUCUGGAGGAACACCGGUGGCGAAGGCGGCAUUCUGGACUGCAACUGACACUGAAAGACGAAAGCCAGGGGAGCAAACGGG
rnacentral:rRNA from 1 species